rnacentral:rRNA from 1 species
UAAUACAGAGGGUGCGAGCGUUGUCCGGAAUCACUGGGCGUAAAGGGCGCGUAGGCGGCCUGGUAAGUACGGGGUGAAAUCUCACGGCUCAACCGUGAGGCUGCCUCGUAGACUGCCGGGCUUGAGCAGAGCAGAGGCUAGCGGAAUUCCCGGUGUAGCGGUGGAAUGCGUAGAGAUCGGGAAGAACAUCGGUGGCGAAGGCGGCUAGCUGGGCUCUUGCUGACGCUGAUGCGCGACAGCGUGGGGAGCAAACAGGAUUAGAUACCCUGGUAGUCCACGCCGUAAACGAUGGGUACUAGGCGUCGGGGGGAGCGACCCCUUCGGUGCCGUCGCUAACGCAAUAAGUACCCCGCCUGGGGAGUACGGCCGCAAGGCUG